rnacentral:rRNA from 1 species
CGGACGGGUGAGUAACGCGUGGGUAACCUGCCUCAUACAGGGGGAUAACAGUUAGAAAUGACUGCUAAUACCGCAUAAGACCACAGUGCCGCAUGGCACAGGGGCCAAAGCCUUGACGGUAUGAGAUGGACCCGCGUCUGAUCAGGUAGUUGGUGGGGUAACGGCCUACCAAGCCGACGAUCAGUAGCCGACCUGAGAGGGUGGACGGCCACAUUGGGACUGAGACACGGCCCAAACUCCUACGGAAGGCAGCAG